CUUUCCAGAAGUGGGCAGCUGUGGUGGUGCCUGCUGGGGAGGAGCAGAGAUACACAUGCCAUGUGCAUCAUGAGGGGCUGACUGAGCCCGCACCCUGAGAUGGGAGUCACGUCCUCAGCUCAUCAUCUACAUUGUGGGAAUCAUUGCUGGCCUGGUUGUCCUUGGAGCUGCGGUUGUUAUUGCAAUUUGGUUGAAGAUGAACCACACAAGGGAAGAGGAGUCAUGAGACAGCUGCCUGUGUGGGAUUGAGCGACAUAAGACUUGUUCAGGCCUCCUCUUUGUGACUUGAAGAACCUUGGAUCUCUUUCUGCAGAGGUAUCUAAAUAUGCCCACAUUCCUACUGGCAUAAUGUGAGGAGGUGGGGAGACCAGCACACUCCUUCCCACCAGGAUUCCUUUUACCACACUGAACUGUGUUCCCUUUCACAAUCAACCUUCUUCUUCAGCAAAGGCAGGGCUAGGUUGUCUCCAUCCCUGUCUCCACGUCAUGGUGCCCUGAGCUACAGCUUCUUAACUUCUGUAGUAAAAAUAAGAACCUGAGCAUAAAUUUA